CAAGGUUUGACAUGCAGGGAAAAGCCGUAGAGAUACGGUGUCCGUAAGGGUCCUGCACAGGUGGUGCAUGGCUGUCGUCAGCUCGUGUCGUGAGAUGUUGGGUUAAGUCCCGCAACGAGCGCAACCCUCGUCCUAUGUUGCCAGCGGAUAAUGCCGGGGACUCAUAGGAGACUGCCGGGGUCAACUCGGAGGAAGGUGGGGAUGACGUCAAGUCCUCAUGCCCCUUAUGUCUUGGGCUGCAAACAUGCUACAAUGGCCAGUACAAAGGGUUGCGAGACCGCAAGGUGGAGCGAAUCCCAAAAAGCUGGUCUCAGUUCGGAUUGGGGUCUGCAACUCGACCCCAUGAAGUCGGAGUCGCUAGUAAUCGCGAAUCAGCAACGUCGCGGUGAAUACGUUCCC
rnacentral:rRNA from 1 species